GAUGAACGCUGGCGGCAUGCCUAAUACAUGCAAGUCGAACGAGAGGAAGGAAAGCUUGCUUUCCUGAAUCUAGUGGCGAACGGGUGAGUAACACGUAGGUAACCUGCCCAUGUGCCCGGGAUAACUUCUGGAAACGGAUGCUAAAACCGGAUAGGUAGCAGACAAGCAUUUGACUGCUAUUAAAGUGGCCUUGGCCAUGAACAUGGAUGGACCUGCGGUGCAUUAGCUAGUUGGUGAGGUAACGGCCCACCAAGGCGACGAUGCAUAGCCGGCCUGGGAGGGCGGACGGCCACAUUGGAACUGGGACACGGCCCAAACUCCUACGGGAGGCAGCAGUAGGGAAUUUUCGUCAAUGGGGGGAACCCUGAACGAGCAAUGCCGCGUGAGUGAGGAAGGUCUUCGGAUCGUAAAGCUCUGUCGCCUGGGAAGAAAGUUUCGGGGUGAAUAAUCCCGAAACUUGACGGUACCAGGAAAGGAAGCCACGGCUAACUCUGUGCCAGCAGCCGCCGUAACAC
rnacentral:rRNA from 1 species